rnacentral:rRNA from 1 species
CCUACGGGUGGCAGCAGUGGGGAAUAUUGGGCAAUGGAGGCAACUCUGACCCAGCAACGCCGCGUGAAUGAUGAAGGUCUUCGGAUUGUAAAGUUCUGUGAUGGGGGAUGAACACAAUGACGGUACCCUAAUAGCAAGCCACUGCUAACUACGUGGCAGCAGCAGCGGUAAUACGUAGGUCGCAAGCGUUAUCCGGAAUGACUGGGCGUAAAGGGUGCGUAGGUGGUUUAGUAAGUUGGCGGUGAAAUUCCGGGGCUCAACCUCGGCGCUACCGCCAAAACUAUUAGACUAGAGUGCAGGAGCGGUAGGCGGAAUGUAUAGUGUAGCGGUGGAAUGCGUAGAGAUUAGGAAGAACACCGAGGGCGAAGGCGACUUACCGGGC